rnacentral:rRNA from 1 species
GUAGUGCAGAGGUAGGCGGAAUUCCCGGUGUAGCGGUGGAAUGCGUAGAUAUCGGGAGGAACACCAGUGGCGAAGGCGGCCUACUGGGCACCAACUGACGCUGAGGCUCGAAAGUGUGGGUAGCAAACAGGAUUAGAUACCCUGGUAGUCCACACCGUAAACGAUGAUUACUAGGUGUUGGAGGAUUGACCCCUUCAGUGCCGCAGUUAACACAAUAAGUAAUCCACCUGGGGAGUACGACCGCAAGGUUGAAACUCAAAGGAAUUGACGGGGGCCCGCACAAGCAGUGGAGUAUGUGGUUUAAUUCGACGCAACGCGAAGAACCUUACCAAGUCUUGACAUCCCUUGACGAUACUGGAAACAGUAUUUCUCUUCGGAGCAAGGAGACAGGUGGUGCAUGGUUGUCGUCAGCUAGUGUCGUGAGAUGUUGGGUUAAGUCCCGCAACGAGCGCAACCCUUAUGGUCAGUUACUACGCAAGAGGACUCUGGCCAGACUGCCGUUGACAAAACGGAGGAAGGUGGGGAUGACGUCAAAUCAUCAUGCCCUUAUGACUUGGGCUACACACGUACUACAAUGGCGUUAAACAAAGAGAAGCAAGACCGCGAGGUGGAGCAAAACUCAGAAACAACGUCCCAGUUCGGACUGCAGGCUGCAACUCGCCUGCACGAAGUCGGAAUUGCUAGUAAUCGUGGAUCAGCAUGCCACGGUGAAUACGUUCCCGGGCCUUGUACACACCGCCCGUCACACCAUGAGAGCCGGGGGGACCCGAAGUCGGUAGUCUAACCGCAAGGAGGACGCCGCCGAAGGUAAAACUGGUG